ACCGUGAAGAGUUUGAUCCUGGCUCAGGAUGAACGCUAGCGGCAGGCCUAACACAUGCAAGUCGAGGGGCAGCGCGGGCAGCAAUGCCUGGCGGCGACCGGCGCACGGGUGC
rnacentral:rRNA from 1 species